rnacentral:snoRNA from 1 species
GGCUGAUGACGACCAAAAAUCGUUGCUACUCUUGAGUGUUUCAAUGACGACAAACAAUUAUCACCAAGAUCUCUGAAGCU